ensembl:lncRNA
UAUGUUUCAGCUUUCCCAGCCCGGCAAAAUAGGACUAUCUGUCAUGAAAAUUUUGGUGAAAUUUCCUUUCUGCUACUGUCUCCUCUCGUUCUCUUAGCCCUUGGUUGAAACAAACUGGUUUUAAGUAUGAAAGUACUGUUCUACCAUGGACAGUGGUUAGCUAUUCUCCAUUUCCAUAGAAGAGAUCUUCUUCAACAAGAAGAGCCAACAAAGUGAAUAUAUAGUUUGGAUUGAAGAAAAUUAAUAAUUUCCUGAUGGAAUUGGUACAGAGUUGUAAACACCCUCUGAAGGGCUUUGGAAGGAGUCUGAAGUGGGUGGUCAGGGGAUGUGGUUCACUAAGUGUGGUCCCUGGACCAGAGCAUCAGCAUUACCUGGAAACUUGUUCAAGGUGCAAAUUUUCCAGACUUCCUGUAUCAGAAACUCCUGGGGUGUGGCUCAGCCAUCUGUGGCUUCUGGAAGAAGACCACCCACCAACAGGAAUAACCACUGGCUUGCUCUGCAUUCUUUCCUCUAAGAGAACUCAAGGGCAGUCCUGAUUGGCUCAGAAGAGCCCCAACAAAUACAGUGCUGGCAGAUGACUCCUUUAUUUGCAAGGAGAAGACUGGUUUGCAGCCAGCAGCAGCCUACAACCCUGACCAGCAGACAACUGCAAACCUGGGAGGGGUAUGUGGGCCCGCACAGCAGACAGAGCACUGGAGAGGCAGCUAAUGUACUCAUGCCUACAUUCUUUCACCAGGGACUUUUUUCCCUAAGCAAACAACAAUAAAAAAAUCUGAAUGGAAGAAUGUGUACAGAGUGCUGAACUAAGUGGUGGGGGAGCCCGAUUCUUAAUGUGUACUUUUUCUCAUAAUAAACUCUGCUCC